CGCGGGGUAGAACAGCCAGGUAGUUCGUUGGGCUCAUAACCCAAAGGUCGUGGGUUCAAAUCCCUCCUCCGCAA
rnacentral:tRNA from 1 species